rnacentral:lncRNA from 1 species
AACUUUCUUCUUCUUGUUAAAACGCAUAUUCAUACCUAAUCAUUUUGUGAUUUCCUGAUUGAUAUGAUUGGUAUUCAAGUCUGGUUAUUUAGGUGGGCCACUAAUCAAAUAUUGUUCAUUCAAAAUCUUGACAAUAAUGAUUCAGCUUUUGGUUCUUUGCAAAGUGUUCUGUGUAUAUAUUGAACAAAAUCCAAAUACCUAGGGACACAUAUAAAGUUGACUCAUAAGCUAAUCGAGUGUUUAAAUGACUCAACAAUCCACAAUAGAGAUUAUUUAGCCCACAAGUGUACGUAUCUAUGUUAGUAUGUUUUUUUUAACACAUUUUUGUACCCAAAAACUCAGACAAUUUAGACAUUCAUGCACAACAGUGAAUGUACCAGGAUUUAACAAGGAUGCUUAAAAUUAUUUUCUAUAUAUUUCACUUAUACUCUUUUUUUAAUAUGUGUGGAAUAAAUAAAAAACUUGUUAUUUUGAGACGGAUGGAGUACAAUACAUCGAUGGUGAAGCUUUAACAACAACAACUUAUCUCAACUCACUCAUUUUUAUUAAUAAUGCAACUCUAAAGAAUUCAUAUUGGAUUCAACAAUUUUACCUUACAUAUUUGUAUUUUAUACAUAUUUAAUCAAAAUUCACUCAAAGCACCGUCACUUGCCAAAAUAAUCGUGAUGGUUGUCAAACCUGUGAUCAUCUCAAAGGGUGAAGUAGUGAAAAACCAUGUGCAAGCUUGUCGAACUCGAGUGAAAUACCUUCCGCUAGAGGUGCUCUGAGGAUGCUACACUCCUAUGCCUACACCCAAUGUACUUUUGGUUAAUGUAAAUUUAAUGGAACUUAUAUGAAUUUUAAACAAAAAAAAAUGUAAUGGUAUGUGUAUGUGUGUUAGAAAGUGUAUAGCCAAUAUUCC